rnacentral:rRNA from 1 species
AUUGAACGCUGGCGGCAGGCUUAACACAUGCAAGUCGAGCGGGGUGAUGGUGCUUGCACUAUCACUUAGCGGCGGACGGGUGAGUACUGCUUAGGAAUCUGCAUAUUAGGGGGGGACAACAUCUCGAAAGGGAUGCUAAUACCGCAUACGUCCUACGGGAGAAAGCAGGGGAUCACUUGUGACCUUGCGCUAAUAGAUGAGCAUAAGUCGGAUUAGCUAGUUGGUGGGGUAAAGGCCUACCAAGUCGACGAUCUGUAGCGGGUCUGAGAGGAUGAUCCGCCACACUGGGACUGUGACACGGCCCAGACUCCUACGGGAGGCAGCAGUGGGGAAUAUUGGACAAUGGGGGGAACCCUGAUCCAGCCAUGCCGCGUGUGUGAAGAAGGCCUUAUGGUUGUAAAGCACUUUAAGCGAGGAGGAGGCUCUUUUGGUUAAUACCCAAGAUGAGUGGACGUUACUCGCAGAAUAAGCACCGGCUAACUCUGUGCCAGCAGCCGCGGUAA